rnacentral:rRNA from 1 species
GCAUAUUAGUAAGCGGAGGAAAAGAAACUAACCAGGAUUUCCUUAGUAGCGGCGAGCGAACAGGAAAUAGCCCAGCACUGAAUCCCGCGGUUGUAACGAUCGCGGGAGAUGUGGUGUUCGGGAGGUAUCGCUUUCUCGUCGUCGCCACUCCUGUCCAAGUUCGUCUUGAACGGGGCCGUUUUCCCGUAGAGGGUGCCAGGCCCGUAGCGACGGAGCGAGACGGCGAGAGGUACGCUCCUCAGAGUCGGGUUGCUUGAGAGUGCAGCCCUAAGUGGGUGGUAAACUCCAUCUAAGGCUAUUUAUUACCU